rnacentral:lncRNA from 1 species
UUGCAAUUUGUUCAGACAGGAGAAGUUGUAGUUCGCGAAAAAUCUGAAUCAUCUGAAAGUUCCUUUUUCGGUGGCGAAACUCCUGUUUAUGACACCUCUGAAGGCUCUGGAUUAUAUGAAUCACCUCCCAGUGAUGAAUCAUAUGCGUACGAAUCACCUCCCAGUGAAGAAUCCUACGCCUAUGAAUCAACUGAUCGUCAGAGCUAUGAAACAUAUAGAGAUUCUGAACUGUGAUGUGAUGAAAAUGUGAUGUUCAUAUACUGGUAUUUGCUCAAA